rnacentral:rRNA from 1 species
GAUGAACGCUGGCGGCGUGCCUAAUACAUGCAAGUCGAGCGAACAGACGGGGAGCUUGCUCCUCUGACGUUAGCGGCGGACGGGUGAGUAACACGUGGAUAACCUACCUAUAAGACUGGGAUAACUUCGGGAAACCGGAGCUAAUACCGGAUAAUAUAUUGAACCGCAUGGUUCAAUAGUGAAAGACGGUUUUGCUGUCACUUAUAGAUGGAUCCGCGCCGCAUUAGCUAGUUGGUAAGGUAACGGCUUACCAAGGCAACGAUGCGUAGCCGACCUGAGAGGGUGAUCGGCCACACUGGAACUGAGACACGGUCCAGGCUCCUACGGGAGGCAGCAGUAGGGAAUCUUCCGCAAUGGGCGAAAGCCUGACGGAGCAACGCCGCGUGAGUGAUGAAGGUCUUCGGAUCGUAAAACUCUGUUAUUAGGGAAGAACAAAUGUGUAAGUAACUAUGCACGUCUUGACGGUACCUAAUCAGAAAGCCACGGCUAACUACGUG